rnacentral:rRNA from 1 species
GACGAACGCUGGCGGCGUGCUUAACACAUGCAAGUCGAACGAAGAGCGAUGGAAGCUUGCUUCUAUCAAUCUUAGUGGCGAACGGGUGAGUAACGCGUAAUCAACCUGCCCUUCAGAGGGGGACAACAGUUGGAAACGACUGCUAAUACCGCAUACGAUCUAAUCUCGGCAUCGAGGAUAGAUGAAAGGUGGCCUCUACAUGUAAGCUAUCACUGAAGGAGGGGAUUGCGUCUGAUUAGCUAGUUGGAGGGGUAACGGCCCACCAAGGCGAUGAUCAGUAGCCGGUCUGAGAGGAUGAACGGCCACAUUGGGACUGAGACACGGCCCAGACUCCUACGGGAGGCAGCAGUGGGGAAUCUUCCGCAAUGGACGAAAGUCUGACGGAGCAACGCCGGGUGAGUGAUGACGGCCUUCGGGUUGUAAAGCUCUGUUAAUCGGGACGAAAGGCCUUCUUGCGAACAGUUAGAAGGAUUGACGGUACCGGAAUAGAAAGCCACGGCUAACUACGUG